GCCUAUGUGGUGCAAUGGUUUGUGCAUUGGACUAUGACACCAGAGAGCAGGGUUCAAAUCCCUGAUCUGGCA